UACGGAGGGUGCAAGCGUUAUCCGGAUUCACUGGGUUUAAAGGGUGCGUAGGCGGCGCGGUAAGUCGGGUGUGAAAUCUCGGAGCUUAACUCCGAAACUGCAUUCGAUACUGCCGUGCUUGAGGACUGGAGAGGAGACUGGAAUUUACGGUGUAGCGGUGAAAUGCGUAGAUAUCGUAAGGAAGACCAGUGGCGAAGGCGGGUCUCGUGGACAGUUCCUGACGCUGAGGCACGAAGGCCAGGGGAGCAAACGGG
rnacentral:rRNA from 1 species